rnacentral:rRNA from 1 species
GACGAAGGAUGCAAGCGUUAUCCGGAUUCAUUGGGUUUAAAGGGAGCGUAGGUGGCCUUAUAAGUCAGUGGUGAAAUCUCCAAGCUUAACUUGGAACUGCCGUUGAUACUAUCUGUCUUGAAUAUUGUGGAGGUGAGCGGAAUAUGUCAUGUAGCGGUGAAAUGCUUAGAUAUGACAUAGAACACCAAUUGCGAAGGCAGCUCACUACUCAAUCAUUGACUCUGAGGCACGAAAGCGUGGGGAUCAAACAGG